GAUCAAGUGUCUUAAGAGCAUUCGGUGGAUGCCUUGGCGCUGAGAGGCGAUGAAGGACGUGGUACGCUGCGAUAAGCCUUGGGGAGCUGCGAACGAGCUUUGAUCCGAGGAUCUCCGAAUGGGGAAACCCACCUUCGACCUUUCGUAUUGCAGUCGCAGACUUUGGUUUGCGGCUUCACUACGAUUGGUCAGAUGAAGGUAUCAAAUCCUGAAUUCAUAGGGGUCUGAAGCGAACCCGGGGAACUGAAACAUCUAAGUACCGGAGGAAAGGACAUCAACCGAGACUCCGCUAGUAGUGGCGAGCGAACGCGGACCAGGCCAGUGGUCAAUUCUACAUAACUGGAACCGUCUGGAAAGUCGGGCCAAAGCGGGUGAUAGCCCCGUACAGGUAAAUCGGAAUUGAUCCUCGAGUAGGGCGGGACACGUGAAAUCCUGUCUGAACAUGGGGGGACCACCCUCCAAGCCUAAGUACUCCUCAGUGACCGAUAGUGAACCAGUACCGUGAGGGAAAGGUGAAAAGCACCCCGACGAGGGGAGUGAAACAGCACCUGAAACCGGAUGCCUACAAACAGUCGGAGCCUCCUUGCGGGGUGACCGCGUACCUUUUGUAUAAUGGGUCAGCGACUUAAAGUUACGAGCGAGCUUAAGCCGAUAGGUGGAGGCGCAGCGAAAGCGAGUCUGAACAGGGCGUUCAGUUCGUGGCUUUAGACCCGAAACCGAGUGAUCUAGCCAUGUGCAGGAUGAAGGUGGGGUAACACCCACUGGAGGUCCGAACCAGUGCCCGUUGAAAAGGUCUUGGAUGACGUGUGGCUAGGGGUGAAAGGCCAAUCAAACUCGGAAAUAGCUGGUUCUCCGCGAAAGCUAUUUAGGUAGCGCCUCGCGUGAAUACCUCACGGGGUAGAGCACUGGAUGGGCUAGGGCCGCCCACAGCGGUACCAAACCCAACCAAACUCCGAAUACGUGAGAGUACUGCGCGGGAGACACACGGCGGGUGCUAACGUCCGUCGUGAAGAGGGAAACAACCCUGACCGACAGCUAAGGCCCCCAAUUCGUGGCUAAGUGGGAAAGGAUGUGGGAAUCCCAAAACAACCAGAGGUUGGCUUAGAAGCAGCCAUCCUUUAAAGAAAGCGUAACAGCUCACUGGUCUAAACAAGGGUUCCUGCGCCGAAAAUGUAACGGGGGCUCAGCCAAGAGGCGAAGGUUCGGGUUUACUCUUCGUGAGUGAGCGGUAGCGGAGCGUUCCGUAGGCCUGCGAAGGGCGACUCGUGAGAGCGCCUGGAGGUAUCGGAAGUGCGAAUGCUGACAUGAGUAACGACAAAGAGUGUGAAAGACACUCUCGCCGAAAGUCCAAGGGUUCCUGCGUAAAGUUAAUCUUCGCAGGGUUAGCCGGCCCCUAAGGCGAGGCCGAAAGGCGUAGUCGAUGGGAACGGGGUCAACAUUCCCCGGCCAGUGGAUGGUGACGGAUGCCGUAUAUCGUUUCUCCUUAUCGGAUUGGAGAGGCGGUGAAGGGGUCCCAGGAAAGAGCCUCCGCGUGAGACCGUACCCGAAACCGACACAGGUGGACAGGUAGAGUAUACCAAGGCGCUUGAGAGAACGAUGCUGAAGGAACUCGGCAAUUUGCCUCCGUAACUUCGGGAUAAGGAGGCCUCAGUUUUACGCAACCAGGGCAGAGGGGCACAGACCAGGGGGUGGCGACUGUUUAUCUAAAACACAGGGCUCUGCGAAGUCUGUAAGACGACGUAUAGGGCCUGACGCCUGCCCGGUGCCGGAAGGUUAAGAGGAGAGGUGAGAGCUUUGAAUCGAAGCCCCGGUAAACGGCGGCCGUAACUAUAACGGUCCUAAGGUAGCGAAAUUCCUUGUCGGGUCCGUUCCGACCUGCACGAAUGGCGUAACGAUCUCCCCGCUGUCUCCAGCAUCGGCUCAGUGAAAUUGAAUUCCCCGUGAAGAUGCGGGGUUCCUGCGGUCAGACGGAAAGACCCCGUGCACCUUUACUGUAGCUUUGCGCUGGCCUUCGCUGUCGGCAUGUGUAGGAUAGGUGGUAGGCUUUGAAGCGGGGGCGUCAGCCUUCGUGGAGCCAUCCUUGAAAUACC
rfam:Oryza sativa Indica Group cultivar 93-11 Ctg044570, whole genome shotgun sequence.